rfam:Gossypium hirsutum cultivar TM-1 unplaced genomic scaffold scaffold4672.1, whole genome shotgun sequence
GGGUGCCACCAUACUAGCACUAAUACACCAGAUCCCAUCAAAACUCCACAGUUAAGCGUGCUUCGGCAAGAGUAGUACUAGGAUGGGUGACCUCCUGGGAAGGCCUCGUGUUGCACUCC